AGACGAACGCUGGCGGCGUGCCUAAUACAUGCAAGUCGAACGGUCUUUCUAUGGAAGCUUGCUCCACUGAAAAGAUAGUGGCGAACGGGUGAGUAACACGUGGGUAACCUGCCCAUAAGAGGGGGGAUAACAUCCGGAAACGGGUGCUAAUACCGCAUAGUUUUCUUGAUCGCAUGAUCGGGAAAGGAAAGACGGCCUUUGUGCUGUCGCUUAUGGAUGGACCCGCGGCGUAUUAGUUAGUUGGUGAGGUAACGGCUCACCAAGACGAUGAUACGUAGCCGACCUGAGAGGGUGAUCGGCCACAUUGGGACUGAGACACGGCCCAAACUCCUACGGGAGGCAGCAGUAGGGAAUCUUCCGCAAUGGACGAAAGUCUGACGGAGCAACGCCGCGUGAGUGAAAGAAGGUUUUCGGAUCGUAAAACUCUGUUGUCAGAGAAGAACAAGUUGGAGAGUAACUGCUCCAGCCUUGACGGUAUCUGACCAGAAAGCCACGGCUAACUACGUGCCAGCCGCCGC
rnacentral:rRNA from 1 species